rnacentral:rRNA from 1 species
CAGCCGCCGCGGUAAAACGGAGGGUGCAAGCGUUAAUCGGAAUUACUGGGCGCAAAGCGCACGCAGGCGGUUUGUUAAGUCAGAUGUGAAAUCCCCGAGCUUAACUUGGGAACUGCAUUUGAAACUGGCAAGCUAGAGUCUUGUAGAGGGGGGUAGAAUUCCAGGUGUAGUGGUGAAAUGCGUAGAGAUCUGGAGGAAUACCGGUGGCGAAGGCGGCCCCCUGGACAAAGACUGACGCUCAGGUGCGAAAGCGUGGGGAGCAAACAGGAUUAGAUACCCCGGUAGUCCCUGUCUCUUAUAC